rnacentral:rRNA from 1 species
UACGUAGGGGGCAAGCGUUGUCCGGAUUUAUUGGGUUUAAAGGGCGCGUAGGCGGUCCAUUAAGUCAGUUGUGAAAUACGGCAGCUUAACUGUCGAGGUGCAAUUGAUACUGGAGGACUUGAGUACAGACGAGGUAGGCGGAAUUGACGGUGUAGCGGUGAAAUGCGUAGAUAUCGGGAGGAACACCAGUGGCGAAGGCGGCUUCCUGGCCUGUUCUUGACGCUGAGGCGCGAAAGCUAGGGGAGCAAACGGG